rnacentral:rRNA from 1 species
UACGGAGGGUGCGAGCGUUGUCCGGAAUCACUGGGCGUAAAGGGCGCGUAGGUGGCGCGGGAAGUCAACGGUGAAAGUUCGGGGCUCAACCCUGAAUCGGCCGUCGAUACUCCCGGGCUCGAGCACUGUAGAGGCAGAUGGAAUUCCGGGUGUAGCGGUGGAAUGCGUAGAGAUCCGGAAGAACACCGGUGGCGAAGGCGGCUCACUGGCCCGGUACUGACGCUGAUGUGCGAAAGCGUGGGGAGCAAACAGG